rnacentral:rRNA from 1 species
AGCGAACGCUGGCGGCAGGCCUAACGCAUGCAAGUCGAACGGACCCUUCGGGGUUAGUGGCGGACGGGUGAGUAACACGUGGGAACGUGCCCUUUGGUUCGGAAUAGCUCCUGGAAACGGGUGGUAAUGCCGAAUGUGCCCUUUGGGGGAAAGAUUUAUCGCCAUUAGAGCGGCCCGCGUCUGAUUAGCUAGUUGGUGAGGUAAAGGCUCACCAAGGCGACGAUCAGUAGCUGGUCUGAGAGGAUGACCAGCCACAUUGGGACUGAGACACGGCCCAAACUCCUACGGGAGGCAGCAGUGGGGAAUCUUGCGCAAUGGGCGAAAGCCUGACGCAGCCAUGCCGCGUGAAUGAUGAAGGUCUUAGGAUUGUAAAAUUCUUUCACCGGGGACGAUAAUGACGGUACCCGGAGAAGAAGCCCCGGCUAACUUCGUGCCAGCAGCCGCGGUAACAC